UACGUAGGGUGCAAGCGUUAAUCGGAAUUACUGGGCGUAAAGCGUGCGCAGGCGGUUUUGUAAGUCUGACGUGAAAUCCCCGGGCUCAACCUGGGAAUUGCGUUGGAGACUGCAAGGCUAGAAUCUGGCAGAGGGGGGUAGAAUUCCACGUGUAGCAGUGAAAUGCGUAGAGAUGUGGAGGAAUACCGAUGGCGAAGGCAGCCCCCUGGGAUAACACUGACGCUCAUGCACGAAAGGCGUGGGGAAGCAAACAGGAUUAACGA
rnacentral:rRNA from 1 species